rnacentral:rRNA from 1 species
UACGUAGGGGGCUAGCGUUGUCCGGAAUCAUUGGGCGUAAAGGGCGUGUAGGCGGUCCGGUAAGUCCGCUGUGAAAGUCGGGGGCUCAACCUUCGAAUGCCGGUGGAUACUGUCGGGCUAGAGUGCGGAAGAGGCGAGUGGAAUUCCUGGUGUAGCGGUGAAAUGCGCAGAUAUUGGGAGGAACACCAGUGGCGAAGGCGGCUCGCUGGACCGAUACUGACGCUGAGGCGCGAAAGCGUGGGGAGCAAACAGG